rnacentral:tRNA from 1 species
GCGCUGGUGGUUCAGUGACAGAAUUCUCACCUUCCGUGUGGGAGACCAGGGUUCUAUUCCUGGCCUGUGUA